rnacentral:rRNA from 1 species
CCUACGGGGGCAGCAGUGGGGAAUAUUGGACAAUGGGCGAAAGCCUGAUCCAGCCAUGCCGCGUGUGUGAAGAAGGCCUUCGGGUUGUAAAGCACUUUCAGUGGGGAAGAAAGCCUUGGGGCUAAUACCCUCGAGGAAGGACAUCACCCACAGAAGAAGCACCGGCUAACUCCGUGCCAGCAGCCGCGGUAAUACGGAGGGUGCGAGCGUUAAUCGGAAUUACUGGGCGGAAAGCGCGCGUAGGCGGUCUGAUAAGCCGGUUGUGAAAGCCCCGGGCUCAACCUGGGAACGGCAUCCGGAACUGUCAGGCUAGAGUGCAGGAGAGGAAGGUAGAAUUCCCGGUGUAGCGGUGAAAUGCGUAGAGAUCGGGAGGAAUACCAGUGGCGAAGGCGGCCUUCUGGACUGACACUGACGCUGAGGUGCGAAAGCGUGGGUAGCAAACAGGAUUAGAUACCCCAGUAGUC